GGGGGGGGGGGGGGGGGGGGGGAGGGGGGGGGGGGGGGGGGGGGGGGCGCGGCGUUUGUGGGGUGCGCGAGUGGCGAACGGGUGAGUAGCACGUGGGGAACCUGCCCGUGACUGUGGGGUGACUUCAGGCAGAUGGGGCUAAUACGGGGUAGGAGCUCCUGCUGCAGGGUUGGGGUGGGAAAGGUUCGGCGGUUGGGGAUGGACUCGCGGCUUAUCAGCUUCUUGUUGGGGUAGUGGCUUACCGAGGCUUUGACGGGUAGCCGGCCUGAGAGGGUGACCGGCCACAUUGGGCCUGAGAUACGGCCCAGACUCCUACGGGAGGCAGCAGUGGGGAAUAUUGCACAAUGGGCGGAAGCCUGAUGCAGCAACGCCGCGUGCGGGAUGACGGCCUUCGGGUUGUAAACCGCUUUCGCCUGUGACGAAGCGUGAGUGACGGUAAUGGGUAAAGAAGCACCGGCUAACUACGUG
rnacentral:rRNA from 1 species